rnacentral:rRNA from 1 species
GGAUCGCGCGAAGGGCGCGUGCGUCACGCAUCAGACCUCUAAUCGGAAAAGACUACCCGCUGAGUUUAA